UGGGGAAUAUUGCACAAUGGGCGCAAGCCUGAUGCAGCCAUGCCGCGUGUAUGAAGAAGGCCUUCGGGUUGUAAAGUACUUUCAGCGGGGAGGAAGGGAGUAAAGUUAAUACCUUUGCGCAUUGACGUUACCCGCAGAAGAAGCACCGGCUAACUCCGUGCCAGCAGCCGCGGUAAUACGGUGGUUGCAAGCGUUAAUCGGAAGUACUGGGCGUAAAGCGCACGCAGGCGGUUUGUUAAGUAAGAUGUGAAAUCCCCGGGCUCAACCUGAGAACUGCAUUCGAAACUGGCAGGCUAGAGUCUUGUAGAGGGAGGUAGAAGUCCAUGUGUAGCUGUGAAAUGCGUAGAGAUCUGGAGGAAUAACGGUGGCGAAGGCGGGCCCCUGGACAAGGACUGACGCUCAGGUGCGAAAGCGAGGGGAGCAAACAGG
rnacentral:rRNA from 1 species